CGGAGAGUUUGAUCCUGGCUCAGGACGAACGCUGGCGGCGUGCCUAAUACAUGCAAGUCGAACGAACUCUGGUAUUGAUUGGUGCUUGCAUCAUGAUUUACAUUUGAGUGAGUGGCGAACUGGUGAGUAACACGUGGGAAACCUGCCCAGAAGCGGGGGAUAACACCUGGAAACAGAUGCUAAUACCGCAUAACAACUUGGACCGCAUGGUCCGAGUUUGAAAGAUGGCUUCGGCUAUCACUUUUGGAUGGUCCCGCGGCGUAUUAGCUAGAUGGUGAGGUAACGGCUCACCAUGGCAAUGAUACGUAGCCGACCUGAGAGGGUAAUCGGCCACAUUGGGACUGAGACACGGCCCAAACUCCUACGGGAGGCAGCAGUAGGGAAUCUUCCACAAUGGACGAAAGUCUGAUGGAGCAACGCCGCGUGAGUGAAGAAGGGUUUCGGCUCGUAAAACUCUGUUGUUAAAGAAGAACAUAUCUGAGAGUAACUGUUCAGGUAUUGACGGUAUUUAACCAGAAAGCCACGGCUAAAUACGUGCCAGCAGCCGCGGUAAUACGUAUGUUCCAAGCGUUAUCCGGAUUUAUUGGGCGUAAAGCGAGCGCAGACGGUUAUUUAAGUCUGAAGUGAAAGCCCUCAGCUCAACUGAGGAAUUGCUUUGGAAACUGGAUGACUUGAGUGCAGUAGAGGAAAGUGGAACUCCAUGUGUAGCGGUGAAAUGCGUAGAUAUAUGGAAGAACACCAGUGGCGAAGGCGGCUUUCUGGAUUGUAACUGACGUUGAGGCUCGAAAGUGUGGGUAGCAAACAGGAUUAGAUACCCUGGUAGUCCACACCGUAAACGAUGAGUGCUAGGUGUUUGAG
rnacentral:rRNA from 1 species